UACGUAGGGACCGAGCGUUGUCCGGAAUCAUUGGGCGUAAAGAGCGUGUAGGCGGCUUGCUAAGUCUUGCGUGAAAUCUCGGGCUCAACCCCGAGCGGUCGUGGGAAACUGGCAGGCUAGAGUGCGGGAGAGGAGAAUGGAAUUCCUGGUGUAGCGGUGAAAUGCGCAGAUAUCAGGAGAACACCGGUGGCGAAGGCGGGUCUCUGGGGCAACACUGACGCUGAGGAGCGAAAGCGUGGGGAGCGAACAGGAU
rnacentral:rRNA from 1 species